rnacentral:rRNA from 1 species
UACGUAGGGGGCAAGCGUUGUCCGGAAUCAUUGGGCGUAAAGCGCGUGUAGGCGGCCCGAUAAGUCCGCUGUGAAAGUCCAGGGCUCAACCCUGGGAUGCCGGUGGAUACUGUCGGGCUCGAGUCCGGAAGAGGCGAGUGGAAUUCCUGGUGUAGCGGUGAAAUGCGCAGAUAUCAGGAGGAACACCAAUGGCGAAGGCAGCUCGCUGGGACGUGACUGACGCUGAGACGCGAAAGCGUGGGGAGCAAACGGG